AGAGUUUGAUCCUGGCUCAGGAUGAACGCUGGCGGCGUGCCUAACACAUGCAAGUUGAGCGAUUUACUUCGGUAAAGAGCGGCGGACGGGUGAGUAACGCGUGGGUAACCUACCCUGUACACACGGAUAACAUACCGAAAGGUAUGCUAAUACGGGAUAAUAUAUUUGAGAGGCAUCUCUUAAAUAUCAAAGGUGAGCCAGUACAGGAUGGACCCGCGUCUGAUUAGCUAGUUGGUAAGGUAACGGCUUACCAAGGCGACGAUCAGUAGCCGACCUGAGAGGGUGAUCGGCCACAUUGGAACUGAGACACGGUCCAAACUCCUACGGGAGGCAGCAGUGGGGAAUAUUGCACAAUGGGCGAAAGCCUGAUGCAGCAACGCCGCGUGAGUGAUGAAGGCCUUCGGGUCGUAAAACUCUGUCCUCAAGGAAGAUAAUGACGGUACUUGAGGAGGAAGCCCCGGCUAACUACGUGCCAGCAGCCGCGGUAAUACGUAGGGGGCUAGCGUUAUCCGGAUUUACUGGGCGUAAAGGGUGCGUAGGCGGUCUUUCAAGUCAGGAGUGAAAGGCUACGGCUCAACCGUAGUAAGCUCUUGAAACUGGGAGACUUGAGUGCAGGAGAGGAGAGUGGAAUUCCUAGUGUAGCGGUGAAAUGCGUAGAUAUUAGGAGGAACACCAGUUGCGAAGGCGGCUCUCUGGACUGUAACUGACGCUGAGGCACGAAAGCGUGGGGAGCAAACAGGAUUAGAUACCCUGGUAGUCCACGCUGUAAACGAU
rnacentral:rRNA from 1 species